CUCUACGGCCAUCAUGGGAUCGUGCUCUUCUCGCUCGUUGAGCUGGUGCCUUCGCCGUGGCCUGCUGGUGGCGGUCCGGAGCGAUGCUGAGCCCGGGCCCAGCCUCUCAGCUCCGCCGUGUGCGCUGCACAGAUCUAGGGGAGCCUGACGGGACGUUGACAACGUGGAAUAGGAGCAGCAUCAUCCCACCAUGAGGUUGGGGAUUUAAGAGUGGAAGAUUGCCAACAGCUGUGGCCUCCCAUGAGGGUGUCCCCUUUCAAGUUCUCAGAACGGACGCAGGACUGCAGAUCUGUGCUGGCAGCAGCAGAGGCUAUAUUCCCAGAGGAGUCUCCAGCCGGCCUGAAAGCAAAUAUCCUAAGUGACAUGUCUGCCAAUUUUGUUCUGGGUGGGCACAUUUGGUAAUCCUGUCUGUACCACAGGAUCUUCUACACCUUUUAAAAAUAAACAUUUGUUUAUAAACCA
ensembl:processed_transcript RIKEN cDNA 2410006H16 gene